AGUUGAAAAAGCCACAGCCGUCGUGAGGCGGUGUCGGAAAGCCAAGGGUCUUUUUAUAAGACAGCCGGGUUACCUAC
rnacentral:ncRNA from 1 species